GCCUCCAUAGCUCAGUGGUUAGAGCACUGGUCUCGUAAACCAGGGGUCGUGAGUUCAAACCUCACUGGGGGCU
rnacentral:tRNA from 1 species